rnacentral:rRNA from 1 species
GAUGAACGCUGGCGGCGUGCUUAACACAUGCAAGUCGAACGGAAAGGCCCAAGCUUGCUUGGGUACUCGAGUGGCGAACGGGUGAGUAACACGUGGGUGAUCUGCCCUGCACUUCGGGAUAAGCCUGGGAAACUGGGUCUAAUACCGGAUAGGACCACUUCUUGGAUGUUGUGGUGGAAAGUUUUUUCGGUGUGGGAUGAGCUCGCGGCCUAUCAGCUUGUUGGUGGGGUAAUGGCCUACCAAGGCGUCGACGGGUAGCCGGCCUGAGAGGGUGUACGGCCACAUUGGGACUGAGAUACGGCCCAGACUCCUACGGGAGGCAGCAGUGGGGAAUAUUGCACAAUGGGCGCAAGCCUGAUGCAGCGACGCCGCGGGGGGGAGGACGGCCUUCGGGUUGUAAACUCCUUUCGCUAGGGACGAAGCGUUUUGUGACGGUACCUGGAGAAGAAGCACCGGCUAACUACGUG